GGACGCGUAGUUCAAUGGUAUAACGUCCGCCUCAAGCACCCCAAUCUGUUGUGACGGAUAAAACCGUCACGGCGAUUCAACUCGCGAAGACGGAUUGGGCUUGGAAGCGGAAGAUGUGUGUUCGAAUCACACCGCGUCCG